GCAUACAAGAAGUGUAGGGCGAGGAUAUAGCUCAAGGUUAGAGCAUAUGCUUAGCAUGCACAAGUUCCUGGGUUCAAUCCCCAGUACCACCUCUAAGAAUAAAUAAGUAAGCAAGCCUAAUUACCUACCCC